GACCUAUUUAACCGACGCACAAUCAGCUCAUUUCCCUCUCUGAUCGUCACCUCAUGCACGUCACGGCUGCUUUGCACGGAAUUCCGAAAGAAAUCUGUAAGUUUGUUUAACCUAAUUGCUCUAGUCACUUUACAUGCCGUCUUUUAACUGAAACAAAUGCAUUUUUUGAAUACAAGAAAGGAUCAAAUCAGAACGGGUCUGCAUCUCCGGCCAGUAGCGACAUGGCGAAAGCUCCAGGUGAAUGUUGAUGGAUUAAAUUCCCAUACUAUCUGGAUGUGUACAGGGCUUUAAAAGGACCUGUUUGGUAAAGGGGUGUCAAAACUCGGUCCUGACGCGUCUCUUAGCUGUCUUAGAGCUGGGACACAUAGGAAACGUGAUGGCCUGUGUUUGGACAACCCAUGUAUUAUUGUAUUUGUCAAACCUUUGACAGGAUGCAUUACGUUUAAUUACAUUAACACAGGUUUGUCCCUUGACACUAAUUGUCUUAAGAGACACGUUUUCAUAUCAAUUAUAAACAGUACAAAUACAUGACAUAGCCUAAAAUGUCUGUCUGUUAAAAAAGGAAUUUCACUGAGACAUUUUUAUUUACAUUAUACUGCAUUAGUUCCUUUUAAUAAAUCCAUGAUGUCCACUGGUGGAGCUUUGGGACAUGUUAAUGAGCUUUGUGGUAUGAUUUUUAAUUUUUUUUUCACACUGAAUCCAUCUGAUGAUCCUGGAAGUCUGAGCUACAUUCCCACCAUAUUGAGCUUUACAUCGCAAGCAAAACGGACCAGAGGCCUACGUGUUGCAGAUGGAUAUGAACGGCUUCUAAAACGUCCAACACUGGCACCUGUUGAGCCCAUAAAUGAAGAUGUGCAGCUUGCAGCAGAAGCACUACUGGACCAUCAUAAUGCACCGCUAUUUUGCGACAGAGGAACUGGUCCAGUACACAGAACUGCAAGAUGAACACAGGUCUUCAGGUUGAAUACCAGCGUCUACUUUCAGGAAACCAGGAACUACGAGAGAAUGUUCAAAAGGGACGAUUCACCUCCACAACCUUAAACAAUCAACAAAUAAAUUCAUGUGCUGGGUUUUAAUGCUCA
rnacentral:lncRNA from 1 species